GUCGGGAAUAUUGCACAAUGGACGAAAGUCUGAUGCAGCAACGCCGCGUGCGCGAUGAAGGCCUUCGGGUCGUAAAGCGCUUUUCGGGAGGAUGAGGAAGGACAGUACUCUCGGAAUAAGUCACGGCUAACUACGUGCCAGCAGCCGCGGUAAAACGUAGGUGGCGAGCGUUAUCCGGAUUUACUGGGCGUAAAGCGCAUUCAGGCGGCUUAGCAAGUCGGGCAUGAAAUCUCUCGGCUCAACCGGGAGAGGCUGUUCGAUACUGCUGGGCUUGAGGGCAGUAGAGGAAGGUGGAAUUCCGCGUGUAGUGGUGAAAUGCGUAGAUAUGCGGAGGAACACCAGUGGCGAAAGCGGCCUUCUGGGCUGCUCCUGACGCUCAAAUGCGAAAGCUAGGGUAGCGAACGGGAUUAGAAACCCGUGUAGUCC
rnacentral:rRNA from 1 species